GCCAGCUCAACCCUCAACAUUUUGAACCUGAGUGUCACAAAUAUAAUAACCAAAUUACAACCUGCAACAAUGGAUCUCUUGGUUCCGGCAUCGAUGAAGAACGCAGCGAAAUGCGAUACGUAAUGUGAAUUGCAGAUCUCCAGUGAAUCAUCGAAUCUUUGAACGCACAU
rnacentral:rRNA from 1 species